rnacentral:rRNA from 1 species
UACGUAGGGGGCUAGCGUUGUCCGGAUUUAUUGGGCGUAAAGAGCGCGUAGGCGGCCGAGUAAGUCCGACGUGAAAUCUGGAGGCUUAACCUCCAGCGGUCGUUGGAAACUACUCGGCUAGAGUCCGGAAGAGGAGAGUGGAAUUCCUGGUGUAGCGGUGAAAUGCGCAGAUAUCAGGAAGAACACCGAUGGCGAAAGCAGCUCUCUGGGACGGUACUGACGCUGAGGCGCGAAAGCGUGGGGAGCGAACAGG